rnacentral:lncRNA from 1 species
AGGUUCACGCCGCCUGUUGUUGGGAGGCCUUGGUCCUUGCCACAUGGAACUCUCCAUAGACUAGUCUAAGUAUUCUUAAAACAUGGCACUUGGUUUCCCCAAAGCAAGUGAUCUAAGAGAAUGCAAGAUAGAAGACAUGAUGUCAUUUAUGAUAUAACCUCAAAAGUUACACUCGUAUAUCCACAGUAUCCUUUUGGCUUCACUGGACAACCCUGGUCAAUGUAGGAGAUGACUAUACAAGGAUAUGAAUAUCACCAGCUUUCCUGACAAAAAAGCUAAGGAGUUUUCAAAUUCAAUAAGCAAGAUGGGAAGGAAGACAUGUCUCAACUAAACCUCUAUCAGGGAACUUCAGCCUAUCAUCACCAGCCUUUCUGUGGGCAGAUGAGGAAAGAGAUGUUGCCAUCUUCCAUCUCUUUGUCUUUCAUUCUUCUCUCCAAAGCCAC